UACUUGUGGGUGAUCUUUAGGAGC
rnacentral:piRNA from 1 species